UUAUCGAGUUAUUCAACUCCCAAACCCUAUGUGAACUUACCACUUGUUGCUUCGGCGCGCGCUUCGGCGCCGCCGAGGACACUUAAACUCUUUGUUUUUAUAAGCAUUUCUGAGUGGCCGAAAGGCAAAAAUACAAAUGAAUCAAAACUUUCAACAACGGAUCUCUUGGUUCUGGCAUC
rnacentral:misc_RNA from 1 species